rnacentral:rRNA from 1 species
UUCGCCCUUAGAGUUUGAUCCUGGCUCAGGACGAACGCUGGCGGCGCGCCUAACACAUGCAAGUCGAACGGAGCUGAGAGGAGCUUGCUUUUCUUAGCUUAGUGGCGAACGGGUGAGUAACGCGUGAGUAACCUGCCCUGGAGUGGGGGACAACAGUUGGAAACGACUGCUAAUACCGCAUAAGCCCACGGUACCGCAUGGUACUGAGGGAAAAGGAUUUAUUCGCUCUAGGAUGGACUCGCGUCCAAUUAGCUAGUUGGUGAGGUAACGGCCCACCAAGGCGACGAUUGGUAGCCGGACUGAGAGGUUGAACGGCCACAUUGGGACUGAGACACGGCCCAGACUCCUACGGGAGGCAGCAGUGGGGGAUAUUGCACAAUGGGGGAAACCCUGAUGCAGCGACGCCGCGUGGAGGAAGAAGGUUUUCGGAUUGUAAACUCCUGUCGUUAGGGACGAUAAUGACGGUACCUAACAAGAAAGCACCGGCUAACUACGUGCCAGCAGCCGCGGUAAAACGUAGGGUGCAAGCGUUGUCCGGAAUUACUGGGUGUAAAGGGAGCGCAGGCGGACCGGCAAGUUGGAAGUGAAAACCAUGGGCUCAACCCGUGAAUUGCUUUCAAAACUGCUGGCCUUGAGUAGUGCAGAGGUAGGUGGAAUUCCCGGUGUAGCGGUGGAAUGCGUAGAUAUCGGGAGGAACACCAGUGGCGAAGGCGACCUACUGGGCACCAACUGACGCUAAGGCUCGAAAGCAUGGGUAGCAAACAGGAUUAGAUACCCUGGUAGUCCAUGCCGUAAACGAUGAUAAAUGGGUGUUGGAGGAUUGACCCCUUCAGUGCCGCAGUUAACACAAUAAGUAAUCCCCCUGGGGAGUACGACCGCCAAGGUUGAAACUCAAAGGAAUUGACGGGGGCCCGCACAAGCAGUGGAGUAUGUGGUUUAAUUCGAAGCAACGCGAAGAACCUUACCAGGUCUUGACAUCCGAUGCAUAGUGCAGAGAUGCAUGAAGUCCUUCGGGACAUCGAGACAGGUGGUGCAUGGUUGUCGUCAGCUCGUGUCGUGAGAUGUUGGGUUAAGUCCCGCAACGAGCGCAACCCUUAUUGCCAGUUACUACGCAAGAGGACUCUGGCGAGACUGCCGUUGACAAAACGGAGGAAGGUGGGGAUGACGUCAAAUCAUCAUGCCCUUUAUGACCUGGGCUACACACGUACUACAAUGGCGUUUAACAAAGAGAAGCAAGACCGCGAGGUGGAGCAAAACUCAGAAACAACGUCUCAGUUCAGAUUGCAGGCUGCAACUCGCCUGCAUGAAGUUGGAUUCGCUAGUAAUCGCGCAUCAGCCACGGCGCGGUGAAUACAAACCCGGGCCUUGCACACACCGCCCGUCA